CGGGUGCCGGGCCGACGCGCUCUAAGGCCCAGCGCGCGGCCUCCGUCAGCGCGUGGCAGGCCCCGGCUGCGCUCAAGGGCGCGGGCGCGCUCCUGCCGAGCCACGGACCCCAGCCCCGCGCCUCAGCGUCCCCGUCUGUGAAGCAGGCUGCUGUGAGGGCGGAAUGAGGCCUGGGUGAGCGCCCGCACGGAGCGCCCUGGACGCCAGUUCCUCCUGGUCGCCUUUCCGGCUCGGGGUACGCCGUCGGAGCAGGGGGCGAAGUUCCUCUGCGUCACAGGGAACUUGCUAAAUCGCAAAACUUGGGUCGGAGCUUUCGUGGUGUGAUCAUCAAAAUGACACACACUUAACGGAGAAAUCUGGGUAAGACUGGUGGCGUUUACCAGCGUCGCCCUCCUGGUUGUGAUCAUGUUUACCAAGUGUUACCAAGGGGUAAGCUAAGCAAGGCGUACAAGGGAUCUCUGUGUUAUUUCUCACAACGCAUGUGAAUCUACAGUUACCUCAAACAUCGUGUGUACAUACACCUAUGUAUCAUUUAUAUACGUGUGUGUGUAUAGUUUUGUAGCAGGCCUUCCUCUACCCCUCUAACCUCCAAAAUCACACAGGUUUGGGAAAACCCCUCACUGCCAGGUGAUGGAAACCAUCCAAGAACAUCAAGGUUGUGGCAGCUGAAGCAGGCUAAAGCCCUCCUGGGUCAUCAGGUGGUAAUGGAGAAAAGAGAUGGAGGAGGUCUUGCUCUGUUGUCCAGGCUGGAGUGCACUGGCUAUUCACAGGCACAAUCAGAGUGCACCGCAGCCCCUAAUUCCUGAGCCUUAGGUGAUCCUUCUGCCUCAGCCUCCUGUGGAUUACAGGCAUGUACCAUGGUGCUCACCUGGAAUGAAUUUUGAAAUGAUCCAACUGGACUUGGAAUAGACAUUUCUCCAGAGAAGACAUACAAA